UUUUAGUUGUUUUCGCAGAAAAUGCUCAGCUGGAUCAAUCAGCAGAAGAUCGCAUAAUAUCAGCAAUUCGAGCAGAAAACCAGGAACUACGGGAAUCUAUUGAGACGCUAAAAAAAAAUGUCGCCUGCUCUCUGAAACAGUAUCCUCUCAAACGCAAUUGAUCAAGUUAUUCUUCAACCAACCCCAGGAGACCGGGACGCCACAAAAUGGCGCUCCUACCGAUUUUCCCAUAAAAACAGAAGACGAUCUGUUUUAGUAGACAAAAAUAUGAAUCCACCCACUCAAGUAUUAUAUGUAAAAGAGAUGGUGAACAUCUUCCGUCACGCGCCUCUAUCGAAAUCGUUGAAAAAGGUUCUGGCCGUGGACCUAGUUGUAGACUUUAACGUCGACGGAACGCAAAACAAAAAAAGCCUGCGCAGAUACGAAAACUUCUUUUCAGCCCUACUGGAGGCUGUUCAAUUGGCCGAUAGUACUCAACCCCCGGAGAAGGCACUUAGAAAAGCCAUGCAAUGUGUUAAAAACAGUGCAUGCAAAAGAAGAACAAGGUUUUUAAAAGAGUUAUCUUAGAGUAAUCGAAAUAAGACAAGAACAAAUAUAAGUUAUAGUAAGAUAAUAUUCAAUCACACAAAAUGUAACGUUAAACUUAAAUAAAAUUCCAUUAUAUUUCUGUGAGUCAA